rnacentral:rRNA from 1 species
UACGUAGGGGGCUAGCGUUGUCCGGAAUCAUUGGGCUUAAAGAGCGUGUAGGCGGUCCGGUAAGUCCGCUGUGAAAGUCGGGGGCUCAACCCUCGAAUGCCGGUGGAUACUGUCGGGCUAGAGUACGGAAGAGGCGAGUGGAAUUCCUGGUGUAGCGGUGAAAUGCGCAGAUAUCAGGAGGAACACCGGUGGCGAAGGCGGGUCUCUGGGCAAUAACUGACGCUGAGGAGCGAAAGCGUGGGGAGCGAACAGG